GGUUGUGGCUCAGCAGUAGAGCGCUCGCCUAGCACAUGCAAAGAGGCCCUGGGUUCAAUUCUCAGCACCA
rnacentral:tRNA from 1 species